GUUUUGUAAAUAAUUUAUGUAGUCCUAGUUUUAGGCAGGAUAAAACCCUAGCUUAGAUAUUUUCCUCUUCGUUCUCUUACUCCUCUCUUCUCACCGUAAAUCUCUUCACUCGAUUCAUAUUAUUGAAACCAUGAAUCGGAAUAUGUUCGCUGCAAAUUAAUUAAAAUUAUCUUUCCUAAACCUAUAUUUUGUAAACCAAAUACAUCUUCAGAAACCAAACCCAAUAUUUCAAUAAUCCAAAUCUCUUAUUGAACCCCAGAAGUUUAAUAUCUUUAUUCUCUGCACGAAAUAUUACAGACCAGUCCAAGAAGAUGAGUUUAGUAAACCCUGGUUUCUUUGUUUAUGGCGAUGUUGUGAGUGUAUAUAGUGAAAACAAAUCAAGGAUUCGCAAUUUUUAUGUUCUUCAUUUGAUUUCAUGGAGUUUAAAUCAUGGUUUGGUUUUAAUUUCAGUUUUAUGAUCUUAAUUUUGAGUUAGGUUACUAUAUUUAUGUACAUCUGGUUGAAUUGAUUUUCUAGGGUUUAUUUUUGUUUUGAUUUGGUUUGCCUUAGCAGUAUUCCAUCAUUUAGAUCUGAAAUUCGUUGGAUUUAUAAUGAGUUUGGUGUGUGAUUUUUUCAGACUAAGUAGAUUAUUCGAAAGCAGGGAAGUAGGAACAAUCAUAUUUUGGGUUACUCAAGCACAACAACUUCAUGGGUCUGUGGAGGAACACUUGAGAGAUUUCAAAUCUCUGCUGAUUCUCAACCAAAAGAGAAGACAUCGAUGACAUUGAUGGUGCUGAAUAAAAGCUUCAUGAAUGUAAGGAUGGGAGCCAUCUAAAUGACAUUGAUUAGACUAUGAAGUGGUGAAAACUUGGGGUUUCAAAACAUGCAAGCUUGUAUUAAAAUGAUGCAGGCAUUUAUGUUAGCAUCUCUCCUUCAGCUCACAUCAAUCUUGGAGUUUAUCAUGUAUUGGGCACCUCCAAUGUAAACGAAGGAUUGUGCGGUCACUUAACUAAGGAUCUUCGAGCAUUUCUGAAAUGGGAUGUUGUCCAUCUCGAUUUUCCAUGCCCUUCCAACUGAUAAGUUGGAGAUGACAUGAUCCAACUAUAGUCAGGCUUGUUUUCGUCGCCUGUGAGAUAUUUACUUGUGAAAUCGAGGUUAUCUUAAAGACAUUAAUGGAUGAUGACGAGUUCCAGUUGAAGGGAUUGCUCUCCUCAUUUAUGGGACCAAACCAUCCUCAUAGCCCUUUGCUAGUUGGGUACUUCAGUAAGUUACGCAAAUUGCUAAAGGUGUAUCAUGGUUAUGAUCAUAAGUUGUAGUUUGGCUUAUGCUGAGGAAGACAGUCCCACUAAUAAACUAUGUCCAAGGCCAUGGAGAUGUAUUCCUCCAUCUAGUUGACUUGAUUUAAAAUCAACUAUGUUUUUGACUUGUUAUUUGCGGUUAUAAAGAUCCUCAGAUAGAUUCUCGUGUUACUAUAAUUUGGAGGAUACACUCUUGUGAAGAACUUAAAGGACCUGUUUCGAAGCUUUGGGUUUGACGCAUAUCCAGUAGUCAUUGGCCUUAUCAUCUUUCAGGUGUUGAUGGUAAGAAAGGUGGUGGUCGGCGUCAAGCGAACCUUACCCCAUGGAAGGAAAGACCCUGCAAGUGGAGGCAUCAGGUGUUGAUGGUAAGAAAGGUGGUGGUCGGCGUCAAGCGAACCUUACCCCAUGGAAGGAAAGACCCUGCAAGUGGAGGCAUCAGAUAUUUAGAACAAGGUUAUAAAAACAAUGAAAAAAGAUUAUUGAUGGGGAAGAAGAAUACUCAGUUGCACCAACCGGCGACCGUAGUGGAUGGUGGUUGAUUUUUGGUUUCAAAAAUUCUGUGGGACAUAUAGUGCUGAUGUGGCACAUACGUGUAACUAUCAAAAACUCUUAAAGUUUGGCACUGUGAAUAUAAGCGGUGUCUAAAUAAGAUACUGGCCCUAUAUAUAGUUGGGGUUCUAAAACUAUGUACUCUGGGAUCUUUUUUCCAUGUUUUUUCACCUUCAUGUUUCCCGACCAUGGAGAUGUUAUGUUGCUUGAUC